AUUGAACGCUGGCGGUAUGCUUAACACAUGCAAGUCGAACGGUAACAGGCCUUCGGGCGCUGACGAGUGGCGGACGGGUGCGUAACGCGUAGGAAUCUGCCUGUUAGUGGGGGGACAACGUGGGGAAACUCACGCUAAUACCGCAUACGCCCUACGGGGGAAAGCGGGGGACCUUCGGGCCUCGCGCUAACAGAUGAGCCUGCGUUGGAUUAGCUAGUUGGUAGGGUAAAGGCCUACCAAGGCAACGAUCAGUAGCCGACCUGAGAGGGUAAUCGGCCACAUUGGAACUGAGACACGGUCCAAACUCCUACGGGAGGCAG
rnacentral:rRNA from 1 species